ACUCCUCUCCACUCAAAUAUCAGGAACAAUCCCAUAAACUCUGUCUGUUACUUCAAGAAAGACGUAACGAUCAUCUUUUCCACUUCAAGUGGACUGUCAAGAGUCCCUCGAAGUUUCCAGGUAAACAGAGAGAGGGCUUGUUUCAUGGAGAUGCUUCAUCUUCAGGGUGCCUCAUCUAUUAUUGGCAGUGAAUAUUGUAAGAAAUAUGUACAUCCUCGGGGCCCACCUUCUCUACUUCCUAAACUGUUUCUACAACCCCCUGCGACGUCCAAGGCUUUACUGGGAAAGUCUUCAUUAGAUAGUCGCCUGUUGAUUUCCUAUAGGGGUUCAAUAUCAGCAGAAGUUGGAAAGCAAUGUUGGGAUUUUGGAAGAUUCUUGAAGACCAUAUACUUCUUCCAAGGACCCCCAUCUCCUUCUAAGUUCAUUGAAUUCAUAAUUGAGAAACUAUCGGGUCCUGCACCUAGCGAACCACCAAAAAGAAUGGAAUCUUCUGGUAUUUUCCUAGUUGCUGGAGCCACUGGGGGUGUAGGGAGGAGAGUGGUUGACGUCUUGCGCAAAAAAGGAUUGCCUGUCCGUGCAUUGGUCAGAAAUGAAGAGAAGGCAAGAAGGAUGUUAGGCCCAGAUGUUGACUUGGUAGUUGGAGACAUCACCAGGGAAAGCACUCUGGCCCCUGAGAACUUCAAAGGAGUGAGAAAAGUCAUCAAUGUCGUUUCUGUCAUCAUUGGCCCAAAGGAAGGGGACACUCCUGACAGGGCCAAAUACAGCCAAGGAAUCAAGUUUUUUGAACCAGAGAUCAAAGGCGAUUCACCUGAAUUGGUUGAGUACAUGGGGAUGAGAAAUUUAAUCAAUGCUGUCAAAAAGGGUGUUGGACUGCGGAAUGGAAAAGUAUUAUUUGGUCUGGAAGAUGAUAAAUUUAAAGAGCUGCCUUGGGGUGCUUUGGAUGAUGUUGUGAUGGGAGGAGUUAGUGAAAGCACGUUCAUGAUGGACUCCAAGGGUGGUGAGAAUGGUGGGCCUACUGGAAUUUUUAGAGGUGUUGUUUCCACUGCGAACAAUGGUGGCUUUACCAGUAUCAGAACAAAGAAUUUUACAGUAGCGGAGGAUCUUUCUGCAUAUGAUGGUUUAGAGCUUUGUCUAAAAGGUGAUGGCCACCGUUACAAAUUCAUUGUUCGAACAAGGCGUGAUUGGGACACUGUUGGUUAUACAGCUAGCUUUGACACUGUUGGAGGGCAGUGGCAGUCGGUUCGUUUGCCAUUCUCUUCUUUGAGGCCUAUAUUUCGAGCACGAACUGUGACAGAUGCUCCUCCAUUUGACCCAAGCAGUAUUAUGUCGUUGCAGCUAAUGUUCAGCAAAUUUGAGUAUGAUGGGAAAUUGAACCCAAGUUUUGUGGAGGGUGCAUUUCAACUACCGAUAUCAAAUAUGAGAGCCUACAUAAAGGAUCCUGUUACUCCAAGGUUUGUACACGUGAGCUCUGCAGGAGUAACACGACCUGAUCGGCCUGGAAUUGAUCUCAGUAAGCAACCCCCUGCUGUCCGCUUGAACAAGGAAUUAGGAUUCGUUCUGACCUUUAAGUUGAAGGGGGAGGAUUUGAUACGAGAGAGUGGAAUUCCAUAUGCUAUUGUGAGGCCUUGCGCAUUGACUGAGGAGCCAGCUGGAGCAGAUCUUAUUUUCGAUCAAGGAGACAACAUCACGGGGAAAGUUUCGAGGGAAGAGAUUGCUCGCAUUUGUGUGGCUGCUCUGGAAAGUCCGUAUGCUUGUGACAAGACAUUUGAGGUUAAAAGUGUAGUCCCAUUCAGCGAGUCUUUUACAGUGGACCCUGAAAAUCCGCCUCCUGAGAAGGACUACAAUGAAUACUUCAAAAAUUUGAAAGAUGGCAUCACAGGGAAGGAGCUCCUUCAGAAAAGUCCCGUUGCUGUCUAAUGGGAAUCUUACUCUGAAGAUAGCAGACAUUAUGUAAUGAGAAGACUUACCAGUGUGUAGAUUUGAAGCAUCACUUCCUCAAACUUGGUGUAGUGACAAUCAAAAGGAUGCCGGUACAUUUUGUUUAUAAGUACAAGGAUCAACAUCCUUCUGUUGAAUACUGAACCCUCUGUUUAUACGAAAAGUUAUUCUAUCCUGUUUUAGCAGCACUUACUUCGAAUUUUGGCAUUUAAACUAUUCUGUUGAAUGAUUGAUUAUAUGAUCCUCCUUCAACAACCCAUCAUGGAUUACUUUAUUCCUUCGUUUAGUUCCAGCACAGAUUAUUGCAAUGAAAAACAGGCUUGUUGCAAGGGAUUCUUAACAGUGUCUCGGAUGAAAAUUUGACUGUAAAUUAUACUUUAUUUCUGCUGUU